GAUGAACGCUGGCGGCGUGCUUAACACAUGCAAGUCGAGCGAGAAGUUUUGAAAAGAUUCUUCGGAUGAAAUUUAAAAUGGAAAGCGGCGGACGGGUGAGUAACGCGUAGGCAACCUGCCCCAUACAAAGGGAUAGCAUUUGGAAACGAAUAUUAAUACCUUAUGAAACUUAACUAGUGCAUGCUAGGUAGGUCAAAGAUUUAUCGGUAUGGGAUGGGCCUGCGUCUGAUUAGCUAGUUGGUGAGGUAACGGCUCACCAAGGCGACGAUCAGUAGCCGACCUGAGAGGGUGGACGGCCACAUUGGAACUGAGACACGGUCCAAACUCCUACGGGAGGCAGCAGUGGGGAAUAAUGCAAAAUGGGGGAAACCCUGAUGCAGCAACGCCGCGUGAACGAUGAAGGCCUUUGGGUCGUAAAGUUCUGUUCUAGGUGAUGAAAACUGACAGUAACCUAGGAGAAAGCCCCGGCUAACUCCGUG
rnacentral:rRNA from 1 species